AUUUGACUACUCUUAGGUCCCUGAUAUAAGUGGAAUCAUACGGUAUUUAUUCUUCUGUGACUGGCUUAUUGCACUGAGCAUAAUAUCCUUAAGGUUCAUGCAUGCUGAAGCAUGUGUCAGAAUUUCCUUUCUUUUUAGGACUGAAUAAUAUUCCAUUGUUUGUAUUUACAUGUCAUUAAU